rnacentral:rRNA from 1 species
GACGAACGCUGGCGGCGUGCCUAAUACAUGCAAGUUGAGCGCUGAAGGUUGGUACUUGUACCCACUGGAUGAGCAGCGAACGGGUGAGUAACGCGUGGGGAAUCUGCCUUUGAGCGGGGGACAACAUUUGGAAACGAAUGCUAAUACCGCAUAAAAACUUUAAACACAAGUUUUAAGUUUGAAAGAUGCAAUUGCAUCACUCAAAGAUGAUCCCGCGUUGUAUUAGCUAGUUGGUGAGGUAAAGGCUCACCAAGGCGAUGAUACAUAGCCGACCUGAGAGGGUGAUCGGCCAAAUUGGGACUGAGACACGGCCCAAACUCCUACGGGAGGCAGCAGUAGGGAAUCUUCGGCAAUGGACGAAAGUCUGACCGAGCAACGCCGCGUGAGUGAAGAAGGGUUUCGGAUCGUAAAACUCUGUUGGUAGAGAAGAACGUUGGUGAGAGUGGAAAGCUCAUCAAGUGACGGUAACUACCCAGAAAGGGACGGCUAACUACGUG